GAAGUGUGCGUUCCCAAGCCUUUUCGCUUUCCAUUUUAUCUUUCCAUUUCUCUCUCUCCCGUGCUUUCUAGAGCUAGUACUCUGGGAGGAGUAGCGAUUUGGCGAUUGAAGAUGCGAAGGAAGGCACCACACUAAGUAAGGUUGCGAGAAUGGAAAGCGUUUUAGAGGUUGUUUCCUUUUUGUAGCAUUUUGGUGUUUUUUGUCUCUUUAUUUUGACCUAUUUACAAAAUUCGUUGUUUUGUGCUUUGUUCUGUGUUCAGAGUUUCAUGGGGGCACAAAAAAAGUUUUAUUUUUGUUGAUAGAGGGUUUUACUCGGUUGAAACGUUGCUGCUUCUGCUCGCUCUUAAGGACCCAACUCAACAUACUGCUAUUGACAACUUAAUGGUUCAACAGCUUGAUGGAACUGUUAACGAAUGGGGUUGGUGCAAGCAAAAGGUGCUUAGCUGAUGGAACUGUUAUUCCACGUUACCACGGGUUUGAAUAAUCAUUUUGUUUAUGAAUGCAUGUUUGGAUUUCCUUUUAUUUUUUUCCAAUUAUAUAGGUAACCCUUAAAUUUUCCCUUCAGUUUAUGCAUGUUUGAAUUUCCUUUUAUUUUUUCCAAUUAUAUAGGUAACCCUUAAAUUUUCCCUUCAGUUUAUGCAUGUUUGGAUUUCCUUUUAUUUUUUCCAAUUAUAUAGGUAACCCUUAAAUUUUCCCUUCAGUUUUUUGAGUUUAUAUAUGUAUUCCCUGAAUUGAUCUAACAUGAAUAGCUUUCUAAGGGUACUCUUCUCGGGAUGAGGCAAACCAUUUUUGAGUUUAUAUUUGAUUCCCUGAAUCGAAGGUACCCUUCCUUCAGUUUUUUGAGAAUAUAUAUGUAUUCCCUUUUGUGAUCACAACAAUUUGGUGCUGUCAAGUGGGUUGGUGUUCUUUUUCUCAGGGGAUUGCAACAGCCAUAGAUGUUUAAACACAUAGAUUGCUAACCAAGAUAGCAUUGCUGGAAUUUCUCGCAUGAGGUUUGUCUGCACAACUCUAGGAUCCGCAGCACUAAUAUGCAACAAUACAGAAACUGAAUGUAAAAGAGAAACCUUCCCAACUGGAUUCCAAUGCUCUAUGUAUUCAGAGGAUGCAGUUCAUAAUGGAAUUAGAGAUUGACCUUCUAGCUUUGGAUCAAUCGGAGAGGCUGCAGACAUAUUUUCUGGGCUGGAAUCUCUUAAUGAUUUUCUCACCUAAGCUGCCACUGAUAGAGGAACAUUUGGUCCAUUUUGAAUUAUCCAUUCUGCAAAUUGUGUUUUAAAGUCUGAAUUUGCAGUUCUAGACUUCUGGUAUGGAUUUAUUUGGGGAAAAUAAAGAUCUAUAUCUUGAUGGACUAAUUUGAUAAGACUAGGAAGUUAACUUUAGCUUUCUAGAAAAAAAUAAAUAAAUAUGUCAAUUCAACUAUGCACACUUCUUUCAAACUACAAAUUUUACCUCUUGGCUACCUUGGUUGGAUUUAUGCAGGCCAUGUUGAAUUAAAUUGUGGCUGAGUUGAAAGGAAUUGUAUGAUUUUGUUGCCAAAUCUAUAGAUGAUUUAAGGAGAUAAUGUUACAUGAUGCAUGUUUUUCCUAUGUCUAAGUUGGUUUUUCCUAGAAAUGUUCUAAAGAAUCAUCAACGCAUGUUGCGCGCACCUGGGAGGCUGAGACAAACUCAUCCAAACAUUGUAUCUCAAGAGAAUAGUGCACCACCAUUUCCUUCUAUUUU